UUUUUUUUUUUUUAAUGCCUGAGAGUAAUUCUUAGAAGUAAGUUUAAAGAAGGGCUGGUUCUAUACAAUACACAGAAAUAUAAAUUUAAGACCAAGUGGAAGGCCAAAAUCAAAUAAUCAAGAUUCUAUGAAUAAUAACAUGAAAUAAAUGUCAUUUCAGAGAUACCUAUCCUUGAACUAUACCCUGGUAAGAGUGGGCAUCUAUUCUUUAUGACAGGAGUCACUAUCAAUAUAAUUUAGGCCUGCAGAGAGAUGUUUUCUGAGAGAAACCAAUAGGACUAUUAACCAGAAGCUAAAGACAGGUAUCACUAUCACCAGAUGUUAUCUAUGGAAGACACAUGUAGAGACUCUGCCUGGGAGAAAAUGCUGAUUGAAAAUUCUCUCUGUCCAUGUGUGAGUGAUUUUAUACAUUUGACUCCCUCUUAUGAUAGAUUUUUCUUAGAAGAAAGAAUAGACCCCAAAAGAUUAAUAUGAAGACUGAGGAGGCUUCACGAGCAUGUCAGGUGAUUUAUGGCAGGCUUGAAUUGGAGCUUAAUCAGAGUGUUACCAGUAGAGGGUGUCCAGGUUCUUGGCAUCUUGAACAAAGAAUUGGACAAAACGCACAAACGAAGCAAGGAAGAAAUGAAGGGAUUGAAAAUUAAAGUACACUCCACAAUGUGGGAGCAAGCCUGAGCAUAGGGGCUCAAGGGCCCCGUUACAGAAUUUGUAGGGGUUUAAAUACCUUCUAUGGGUUUCCAUUGGUUACUUGGUAUAUGCCCUAUGUAAAAGAGAGGAUGAAGUAAAGUUACUUAUAUUUGGUGUAUGCCCUAUGGAGAGGCUAUUUCCCGUCAUAGCUGAAGUGUGAAUCGGCUUUAUGUUCCCUUCCCCCAGACCCUAUUUUCCUGCCUCAUUUUCUCUCUGAGAGACGUGAUCCCCAUAAAUCUUUAUAAGAGGCAGAGGGACCCACAGUCUUUCUUCUAUAACUGCUUCAUGCUGGCUUGAGAUGUAGCUCCCAGCGACUGAGUAUCACAGUACUCACCCUGCUCUGUCUAGUGGGGACAGGGUUUCCUUGAUGGUCAGGGGUGGUGUCUUUCACCUGGAACUGGCUGGAACCCUUGUCACAUGAUCAUCUGAAGCUUGAUGGUCUCUAGGCAAGAGGAAAUGAAUUUCGUUAAAAGAUUUAAUGGGAACUUCAAGGAGUGGAUACCUGUGCUGUCAAGAAUGUUUGUUAUAGAGAUUUGUAUGAGAAAAACAAAACCUGGUUUGUGUUGUGUUCUAGGAUCUAUGUGUUACCUUAAAGUCUUAGCACAAGCAACUCCAUUAUAGUUUGGUUUGGUCUGUUGGAGCCUAGUGCAUGAGCUCAGUCCAAAACAAUGGCCUUCCAUAACUUUGUUUUAAAAAAUCCCCCUUUUUGGUCAGGUUCUCACUUAGGUGAGAGGGUAACCAAAACUUAGGGCCUUAAUAACACUCUCAGUUACCAUCAUUUUGGGUUUCAGUCUUAGCACAUCAUUCAUAGGUUAUGGUGUCCUCAUGGUUGCUCAUUUCUUUCAGCUCUUGUUAUUUCAAUUGAAGAGAGACCGUAUGACACUCUAGAGAUGGCUGCAUGCAAACAUUCAAAACCUUUGAGAGAAUACAGCAUGCCAGGAAGACUAUUAUUACGACUAAUGGGAAGAUAAUACCAAGAAUUUGGAGUAUACUCCUUACCCAAGGUCCCCAUAAACUGAACUUCCUAAAAUCAAAUAGAUCAAAGAAUGAGCUAGAUAAACAGUUUACUACUUAACUAAGCAGUCCCUUUGCAAAUUCUCUACCACUGAAUUUCUAUAAUCUUCAUUUGAUGUAUUUUUCCAUAGGCCACAAGUAUUAGCAGCUGCACAGAUAAUUUUCUGUUCAGCAAAUUCUAUUAUAACUUUCACAAGACAAUUUAAAGUCUUUGUGUAACUGUAGCCUUUACAGUAAAAUUUGAGCCUAUCAUGAGGUGUACAUUUCUAAUCAUUGCUUUUUCACUUUAAACCAAGGAAAAAGGACCUAACAAAUGAUGCUCUUCUGGAAGAGUGAAGGCCUACUGGCAAUGUUCUCUUUAACCCAUGAUGUGGGCUAAGAGGAGUGAACCAAUAAAUAAAAUAAUAAAAUAAUCCAAAUUGAAUACACUGGUGUGGUAGCUUACAAAUUACUAAAAUAGCUUAUAACCAAUGCUUGACCCCAUAUUCCUGGGAAAACAAUUAAAGCUUCAGGCACAUUUGGUCACCUGGUGGGUCAUUAAACAUUUUGUAAAGGGAUUUCAUCCAAUCAUUAUUUUCAAUGCAUGUCUUCUGGUUGUAUAAAAGCUUUCCCAUGCAAGAGGGCUGAUGUUGUAACAAUAGAAGCUCUUAUCAUUAUUAAACCAAUUAAUUAAAGUUCUUUUGUUUUAACUAAAACUUUACAGAAGAGAUAAACUGUGACUUUUACCUUUCAUUUAACCAGUCUGCACAGAAAGAAAGAGGCCAGAGUCUGGUAAGAAAUUCUCACACUUUUGCAGGCAUGUCAGAUUUAGGGUUAUCUCUCCCUGAGCGGCUCUAGUGGCCCUGCUUGACUGUAUGCAGACAAACACAUUGCCAUGAAUUAAGAAUAUUCACAAAGAGUUUACAAAUUUUGAAUAAAUUAGGCAGAUAGAUAAAUAUGACUCAAAUUCUAUUUACCAAAGUAUACUCAACACUCUUAAAGUAUCAGGAAACUUAAAAUCCAAAAAGUUAGUUUAAGGGUAAAAGACUGGUGCGCUCCAUCAAUUCCUGUGGGCCGAUAAAGGUAGCCUAGAAAUUCAAGAUAAAUGGAAAGUAAACAGCAACCAAAUUAAAACUAGAAGCAAAAACAAAUAAACAUAAAACCAACCCUAAAUUUUUCCUGGUUAAUCUACCCUGGAGGCUACAGUGUUACAUAGGGCCCCAAAAAACCCACAUGAUGAAUAUUUUAUUUCUGAUACAAAAUGUAAUAUCCUUAAGUUCACCAAUAUUAUUAUACAUUCUGUGCAAUCAAGAAAUUCACUUAAGGCACAUGACCAAUAAAUACUCUAGCACUGUCCACACAAAACAGUAAACAUAGUGUAAAGCAAUGCAAGCAUGCUUGUGAAAUUUGGCUCCUCACUAAAUCCAGCUUCAUGCUUAACUAUAUUUUAAAAAAAUUGUCAAACUGCCGAUGCAUUUUUUUUUUUUUUGAGAUGGAGUCUCGCUCUGUCUCCUAGGCUAGAGUGCAGUGGCACGAUCUCAGCUCACUGAAAGCUCUGUCUCCCUGGUUCACGCCAUUCUCCUGCCUCAGCCUCCCGAGUAGCUGGAACUACAGGUGCCCACCACCACACC
rnacentral:lncRNA from 1 species